GAAAAUAAAUGAGGAGCAAUAUGCAGAUGUUCAAGUAUCAGACUCAUUAAUUAGACCUUACUGCUGCUUCUGUGAGAGACAGCUGUGAUGGGAAAAGAAGGCAAAAUAGGUGAUAUGACCCUUUCACUACCUAACUAGGCAGGGACACAGUUCUGUUUUUCAUACUUCACACACUCUCUAUCAGUUUUAGUAUUUGCAUCCUCUACUCUUAU
rnacentral:lncRNA from 1 species